CCCGCCCAGGUAAUGUAGAAAAGGAAUUCAAAGGGGUCCAAACUCCCGGCCCGUACGCGUAGCUCCUCAAAAUGGGCCGCUUGUUGUUUGUGACGAGUAGAAGAGUCCAAUCCAAGUGCUAAAGGUGGCCGAUAUAUCACAGGGGGGGGGGGGGGGGGGGUAGUACUGAUCAUCACCAGCUUUUUAACAAGGUCACCUGACCUGUAGAAGAACAAAAUCUAUUUUUUUCUUGAAAAAUAACUUUAUGCCAGGUGUUGCAAGGUCUCUUUUCUCUUGAUUUUUUUUUUCUUGUGUGUUUCAUAAUUUCAAUUUUGUUUGUUUUUGUCUUUCUCAUGAACAAAUCUAUGUUUAAGUAGCCACUUGCCUUGUAACAUUGUGUUUUACUUUGUGCAGAUACGGUCAAAUAAUCAAUGGGGGUGGUGUUUACAUCGUAACCAUAUUGUAGAGUAUCUGGAAUAAAUAAAAAACGUUGCCUAAUGAUGCCAAUGAAAGACGGAACUUUUAACAAUAAUUUUUUUUCUAAGUGCGAGUAAAAACAUAGUAGUGGGAGGACGUGUUUUGUAGUAGUAGUAGUACUAAUCAUGAGUCACUUUGCGCUGCUACUACGAUGCGUUUACACUACAAAUGAAAAAUGACUAGAGAGAUCUCAUCAGGACGAUAUAUUUUUCUACCAUGACGUGAGUUUUACCUUCCAGAACUGUACGGGGGGGGGGGGGGUUGCUGGUUGACCCUCGGGGACCCUGAGAGACCAGGAAGGCCCUCCGCCUCGCUAGGGCCACUGCGUUUGUCUCACACAAUAGAUCGGAUUUUGAAAUCCCCAUUUUUAUUUUAGGAAGGUAGAAAAAACCCUUUGUAAUUGUGUUUCCCUAUCGCUGUUUGGCUUUAAGUCUCAGGUCGAGACUCUUAAAUCUUCAACAACUGGACUACGAGGACAUUUCUUUUCUUGUUUAGGAAACCACUGAAGCUCAUACCUUUUUCACUCUUCACACAGCAACAAUCUCGUCAAAUGCUCGGAAAAACAACAUUAGUCCAUAAUAUAGAUAAUGGUAAAAUGUAGUAGUAGUAGUAGUAUUGGAAUGUGCAGGAUAUGUUGCUUUCAAGAGCAGUACUAGUAGAGCGCUUUCUUCACUUCCAUCCUGCAGCUAAUGAAAGGCACUCCACAGGCUGGUGGAGGUCCAGGGUUCUGCUCCUCUGGUCACACCAUGAGGUCUGGACUCACAGAUGUGGGUUGACCUGGUCUGUGUUGGCCCCCCAUCCCCCCGCCGUUGUAGCUCACGUGUCUUUCUCUCUUUCUGGUGUGUAUUUCCACGCAUUAACAGUCUUGAUAGGCCAAAAGGAGUGCACUGCUCAAGAUGGGGAGGAAAAAGCGAAAACGCUCUCCUGGUGACAACGUCUUAUGUCACUUGUAAAAUUUGAAGGGGAGUAACCAACGCUACGUGAAAAGCUAACGUUAGUAGCAUUAGCUAUCUGGGUGUUAAAACCCACGGAAACCUGGUUUUCCGACAUCACGUGUUUCUUCAUAGGAAUAAAUGGUGUUGUUACUCUGGUUUGACCCGAUGAUUCGUGCGACUAUUCAAAUGGCUCUGAUUGGUGCACAAAAAACGUGACAUCACCUUUUUCGCCAACAAAGCCACGGCCACUUCAAACCAGCCCGGGGGUGCCAAAACAGAUACAUCGCUCAUGGGAAGACUUUUCCGACUGCAAAGUUGUGCAUUAAAAUGGUGGGUACCAUCGUUCACAGUAAGAAGCUGAUGACACCUUCAGACAACUGUUUUCAGGGGCUCUAAAUGAGUCAGAUCCAAUUUGAGUCAAAUCUUCUCAUCAAUUAUCAAUAAGAUUGUAACAUAGUGGAAUAUUCAUAUACAAUGGUUGUGCAGGUAAAGACUUGAAAAAUGUGGUGCGGCACAAUCAGCCGCAGCCGAUAGGUGGCGCUCCCCAACACUUUUCCCCUCCCCGCUUGAGCCCCGCCCACGUUGGCCCCCACGCUACGCUGCCGCGUGACCUCCUCACAGGGGAAGCGAAGGCGCCAUCUCUUUCCGUCUGAAUUGUGCAUUAAAAGCAGUUAUUCGUGAAGGUGGAACUACAUCGCGUAGCUUCACCCGCCCCCCUUCGCCUACGACGUAACAGCGCCCUCUGGUGUUCAUAAGGGAACCAGCACCCACCUCUCGGGAGAUGGGCGGGGCAUCAGUGGGCGGGGCCUCAGUUCAGACCCACAGUGACGUGCUGUCUCUAGUGUUUGUGAUAGAAUGUGCUCCUUGGCUGGCCUGCAGGCUUUACAAGCUCCGUGUUGUCUUUUUACUGUUUACUGCUGUCUUAACUCUUCGGUCCUUCAACAGUUAAAAAAAGAAUAAAUGAAUAAACAACUGAAUAUUAAAAAAAAAGCUAAAGAAAGUGUAGCUUGCUUCUACAAAAUCUUAAAGCUCUUCUGAUUUGCAUAUAUUGUACUGUAAUGUUUUAUUUAAGAUUUUAGUGAGUACAAAAUACUGUCUGCAUUUAAACUAAAUUUAUGGAAUUAAAAUUACAAAGAAUACCUAAAUCCCACUGAGUUGUGUGUUUUAUUUUGGAAAUAAUUAUAUGUGUAUAUAUAGUGCACUUAAACACUUGAUGUUGUGGUUUUGCCGUCCUCUUCUCUCCCUCCCAAACACACACACACGCUUUGCAUGCAUUGGGUUCCCUACAGCAACCGUCCGACCUCUUUAAAGACUGAAUGGACGGGUCAGAUCUUUUCAGGCUGAUGUUAUUUAGGGUUUCAGAGCGCUGAUAAUAAUUCAGCGACUUGGCACAGACGAAGUUCCCAGCGCUGUCGCUGUCCCGUGCUGGGUUUUAAUUUAAGAAGUCUCUGCAGUAACCCUGAGAAAUGCCAGUUUGAUGCCGGCAUAAAGUGCGUGACACCAUUUCCGCCAGUGGGAUAAUGGCUUCCAUGUCAUGUUGGUUGAGUCACUAACCGACGAGAGAUGGAAACCUUUCGCCCGCUGUGGGCCCGGGGCCCCCACAGUUUAGGAGCGUUGCUCAUGCUGUAGAGCACGAGAGGUAGAGCCCGUUUGUCUGGCCCCAUUUAUUCAUUUGUGGUUCCUGUGCUUGUCUUAAUUGACAGCAGAGGGGCUCUUUAGCCGUGAGAAACUGUGGCUCCUUCAAAG
ensembl:lncRNA